AGAGUUUGAUCCUGGCUCAGAAUCAACGCUGGCGGCGUGCCUAACACAUGCAAGUCGAACGCGAAAGCCCCGCAAGGGGUAAGUAGAGUGGCAAACGGGUGAGUAACACGUGGGUGACCUGCCUUCGAGUGGGGGAUAACGUCCCGAAAGGGACGCUAAUACCGCAUGACAUCCUGCCUUUGGACAGGCGGAGAUCAAAGCUGGGGAUCGCAAGACCUGGCGCUUGAAGAGGGGCCCGCGCCUGAUUAGCUAGUUGGUGAGGUAACGGCUCACCAAGGCAACGAUCAGUAUCCGGCCUGAGAGGGCGGACGGACACACUGGGACUGAGACACGGCCCAGACUCCUACGGGAGGCAGCAGUGGGGAAUUGUUCGCAAUGGGCGCAAGCCUGACGACGCAACGCCGCGUGGAGGACGAAGAUCUUCGGGUCGUAAACUCCUGUCGAGCGGGACGAACGCUUCGCGAGUGAAUAGCUCGCGGAAUUGACGUACCGCUAAAGGA
rnacentral:rRNA from 1 species